GUGGGUGAGAGGAGCGGGAGCCAUGAAUGCUGAUGGAGAGUGUCGGCGGGCUCCAGCAGUGAUGGCUUACACUGCUGCCCGUACCUUCUCUCCCCUCAGCGCUGCUGCACACUCACUGACCGGGUCUGGGAUGCUAGCACUGCAGUGUAGACAGAAAAGGAUGGGUGGAGACAAAGAUAGCACCCGCCCCGUUCAGAAGUUAGGACUCGGAGGACAAGCUGCUCAUGUUCUAAGCUCCUUGCUGCCUGCACUAUAGAGGCUGAGACGCUGCUGUACCCUCUGCUCCUAUAUGGUGUCCCCUGUGCAGGAAAACAAUUCAGAUGGCUCACUGCAGAUUGAUGCCUCCAUCAGAAAACCUUAGGACAUUCUACUCUGCUCUAUUAAAAUGUAAUGUACUGAAAAAUAUUCUCUAUGGAAAAAGAAUAAAUCAACUCUCAAUA